UACGGGGGGAGCAAGCGUUGUUCGGAUUUACUGGGCGUAAAGGGCGGGUAGGCGGCCACUGCAAGUCGGUUGUGAAAUCUCCGGGCUUAACCCGGAAAGGUCAAUCGAUACUGCAGGGCCAGAGUGCAGAAGGGGCAACUGGAAUUCUCGGUGUAGCGGUGAAAUGCGUAGAUAUCAGGAAGAACACCUAUGGCGAAAGCAGCUCUCUGGGACGGUACUGACGCUGAGACGCGAAAGCGUGGGGAGCGAACAGG
rnacentral:rRNA from 1 species